UCUCUUUCUCACCAAUCUCGCUCAUUCCCAACUUUUUCCCCUUUUCUUUUUCAUUGAGCUCCUCUUCAUGCUUUUCUUCUUUUCUUUUCUUUUUCUCAUGAAUUUUUCUUUUUCAACAUUCGAGCUCAAUGCUUUUCAUUUGCUUUCUCAAUUUUCCCCCAUACAACCCCAAACUUGAACCUUUUCAUCGCAUACAAUUAAGCCCAUCC
rnacentral:lncRNA from 1 species